ensembl:lncRNA
CGCCAAAUGACUUAGGCCUACGAUAGGAGUAUGUGAGCGGUGUUCCCAUGUCGUGUGACCUGUGUCUUUGUGUGCACUCCCUGGGGAAGCGGCCCCAUCACGACCCCGGUCAACAGGCCUGGAAUGGAGUCCAGUCCAGAGGAGUGGGUUGAGGACCCCUGGAGACCAGUGAGAUCAUGAUGAGCCUCUCAGGCUGCUGGGACUUCUAGUUUCUGUUUCUGUGGUUCCACAAUGCAGUUUCUCCUGCCCUAGGGUGAAUACUGGAGACUGUGUUCUGGGAAGCUAGCCUGUUAUCACUGGAAAAUUCUCCAGCUGGAGUCCUCCAACAUGCCAGCUAGGAAGCUCGUCUCCCUCACUGAAGGAAUGUUCUGUGCAGCAGGGUGUGGCUCCCAUCUUCCUGCGUGUAGUGUUUGGACAAAAUGUUCUGUUUGGUUUCUGGUGCUUCCUGAGCAUGUAAAGAAUGCGAACAUCUUAGACCUGAGCCCUCAGCUUCUUUUCCUCCUGGUCAAUGACAGCUCAUUAAAAUGACUUGGAUUCCUAACAGAGCUGGCCAGACCUGGGCUCCAGCCAUGAGGACCAGAAUCACUUGGUCUGGGCUGGAUGUGGCAUCGGAAUCUUUAUCACCCCCAAUUCCAGCAUGGACUAGAGGUGAAGUUAUGAAUAACCUGGGAACUUGACUGGGCUGAGUCUAAGGCCUGCCAGGAGGAGGCUGCUCCAGUCCCCACCCCAAUCUGCCUGAGUCUACUGGGUCAUCUCUACAGUGGGGAGAAUGUGGCUUGACACGCGUGGACAGUUGGUACGUGUCUGGAGCUUCCUGUUUGAAUUGUGCCUUUUGUCUCUUGGGGCAGUUCAGCCCAGCUGUCCUCAGCCCAGCCAUUCCCUGAGUGGUGCUAUCACAGCUGCCCCGUGGCCUCUCCAGCCACAUUUGGGGUCCGUCUGGGAGAAUUGGAGAUCAAAUGCAAGCCUGUGGGAAACCUCAUUAGAUCCAACUGGCAAGAGAUGAACAAACCUGGAGAACAUGAGACAGAGCCCACAGGAAAAACAGUAUGAGCAGGAUAUGACCCAGGAAGGCUGUCCUGGAAAGGUACUCACAGCUAAGAGUUUGCCUUGUGUCUCAGAGGAAACUUGGGGCUUGGACUUUCAAGAAGGGCUGUAACAGCUGAGACUUUGGGUACUCUUGGACACAGACCAAAUGGUUUUUGCAUAAUGAGAUGGACAUAAUCCUUUGGGGGCCAGGGUGGAAUGUUAUGGCUUGGAUUGAAGAUGUCCUCCAAAAACUCUUGUUAACAGAUGAGGCUUUUGGGGAGAUGAGGCUUUGGAUCAUCAGGGCUCUAACUUCACUGGUGGAUUAAUCUACAAUGGCCUGAAAUUUGAUGACAUUAUUGAGAAGUGAGGAAUACUUGCAGGGAGGGACCUAAUAGUAGAUUAGGAAAUAUGACCUUGGGACCCUGUCUUCUCACUGGCUCCUUUUUCUCUGGCUCAUCUACUUCUCUCCGCUUCCUAGAUGCCAUGAGCUGAGCAUCUUUCCUCCACCAUGCCCUUCCACUAUGAUGUUUCUGUCUUGCUUUAUGCUCAUAGCGG